CAAGUUGGCUGGGUGAUCGCGGUUGAGCGCUCGCAAGAGCGCUUGGCUGAGGAAAGUCCGCACUCCACAGGGCACGGCGCCGGCUAACAGCCGGGCGGGGCGACCCGACGGCAAGUGCAACAGAGAGGCAUAUUGCCAGCCAAACGGUCUUCCGUUUGGCCGGUGAGGGUGAAACGGUGGUGUAAGAGACCACCGGCGGCGGCCGUAAUGCCGCCGGCCAGGCAAACCCCGCCGGGAGCAAGACCAAGCAGGGCGAAGGGUUUUGCGGCUCGUCCGCCAAACCCACGGCGCGGCCCGCGCCGUCCGACGUUCGGGUAGGUUGCACGAGGGCAUUGGCAACAAUGCUCCCAGAUAGAUGAUCACCAGCGCCCACGUCCGCGUGAGCGCCGACAGAAUGCGGCUUAUAGGCUGACUUGGCAA
rnacentral:RNase_P_RNA from 1 species